rnacentral:lncRNA from 1 species
UUAUCUACUCCACCCCUUAUCCAGGACUGCCUCAGAUUCUCAACUUCUUCUUCUAGCUCUCUCUUUUUCAGCAGCGCGUCCUGGAGCACCCGACGAAGUCGCUGGCUUUCGAUCUCCGCCUCUCGACACCUCUUUCUCAGGACUUCAGAUUUUGCCUCCGCGUUCGUGACGGCCUGCUGCUCGUAUGCCAGUUGGAUCUUUAAUUACUGCAGCUCAGCCAUUCUCUCUCUGAGGGCGACAGAAAGCCCUUCGACAGUUCCUCUUAGGGACUGGAGUUCAUUAAAAUUCUGGGCAGAAGUAAGCUGAGCCCUAUCAGCCAGCUGCCUCUGAAGACAGGCGACUUCGUCGGCCGCCACCCUGAGUCUCCCUUUAUAUUCAUCCACCUGCCU